rnacentral:rRNA from 1 species
UACGUAGGGGGCAAGCGUUGUCCGGAAUCAUUGGGCGUAAAGAGCGUGUAGGCGGCUCGGUAAGUCCGCUGUGAAAGUCCAGGGCUCAACCCUGGAAUGCCGGUGGAAACUGUCGAGCUCGAGUCCGGAAGAGGCGAGUGGAAUUCCUGGUGUAGCGGUGAAAUGCGCAGAUAUCAGGAGGAACACCAAUGGCGAAAGCGGCUCUCUGGAACGGUACUGACGCUGAGACGCGAAAGCGUGGGGAGCGAACAGG